GUAAUACAUCGGAACGUACCCAGUAGCGGGGGAUAGCCCGGCGAAAGCCGGAUUAAUACCGCAUACGCCCUACGGGGGAAAGGGGGGGAUCGCAAGACCUCUCACUAUUGGAGCGGCCGAUGGCUGAUUAGCUAGUUGGUGGGGUAAAGGCCUACCAAGGCAACGAUCAGUAGCUGGUCUGAGAGGACGACCAGCCACACUGGGACUGAGACACGGCCCAGACUCCUACGGGAGGCAGCAGUGGGGAAUUUUGGACAAUGGGCGAAAGCCUGAUCCAGCAAUGCCGCGUGUGCGAAGAAGGCCUUCGGGUUGUAAAGCACUUUUGUCAGGGAAGAAAUCGUUCGGGCUAAUACCUCGGGCAGUUGACGGUACCUGAAGAAUAAGCACCGGCUAACUACGUGCCAGCAGCCGCGGUAAUACGUAGGGUGCAAGCGUUAAUCGGAAUUACUGGGCGUAAAGCGUGCGCAGGUGGUUCGUUAAGACAGUUGUGAAAUCCCCGGGCUUAACCUGGGAACUGCAAUUGUGACUGGCGGACUAGAGUUUGGCAGAGGGGGGCGGAAUUCCUGGUGUAGCAGUGAAAUGCGUAGAUAUCAGGAGGAACACCGAUGGCGAAGGCAGCCCCCUGGGCCAUGACUGACACUCAUGCA
rnacentral:rRNA from 1 species